rnacentral:lncRNA from 1 species
CUUCUGGUUUUUUUUAAAAAAAAAUCUUAAAUCUUCAUCUAUGUUUACAUUUCAUUUUCAGCAAUGAGGACUAGUUUUUACCCCUAGCUGACACAGGUCAGUUUGAAUGACAGCAGACUCACAAACACAAUCAUUUAUGUAUCUAUGUAGGAGUAAGUCCCAUUGACUUUAGUGGGGCUCAUUCUAGCCUCAGUGCAUCAGACAUGAAGGCCAAAUGGAAAUGAUUCUCUGAAAUUUCAUAAAGCCAAUUUCAGCUCUGUAAAGUCAAGUAUUUCAUGAAGAUGGGAGAAAACUGACAAGAGACAAUCUAUUUGCACUAUAGUAGGUCACCGAUCUUUCGGGGUCAAUGGGUAUAUUCAAAAUUUUAAAAAGUGUCAUGAGUACCAGUUACAAAAUGGCUGCCAUGGGGGUGUAUGACACAAAAUGGCUGCCACAUCUAGAAGAGCAGAGAGAGCCACAAAAUGGUGCAGGUAUUCUACCCCUACAUUGUCCCACCAUCAAUCCCGCAUCAAUGGGAAAAUGACAUCUAUUUCUGCUCACAGAAAGAAGUUUUUUGUUUUGUUUUGUUUUGCUAUGUCUCAAAAAGACGAAAUUCAGCAAGGAAGCAAAGCCCAUGCCUAAUAAUGGCAUGUGUUUAUUAAUUUAUUAUUUAGACCAGAGUAAGUGGCAGCAAAAAGCAAUGCACUCUAGAAAAUUAUCUGACCUGAUUUUUCAUAAACUAAUCUCCCCCUAUAUUUGAAGGACACCUUGGCUGUCAUUCAGGGCUUUGCGUGCCAAAAAAAAAAGAAGAGCUGAAUCAGCAGGAGAUUCUGAACAGAAAAAUUAGUUUGUCCGUGUUUUCAAAAACAAAAACAAAAAAAACCCAACAAACAGACAAUUUACACAGUUUGCAGUAACAGCAGUCGCUUGCCUGGAUGGCAAUUAAACUGGCUUGUUCAAUUGGCAUUUUUAAAAAGGCAGAUGACAAUGUUUUGUAUGUUGCAAACACUCAAGCUUCACUGGGAAGGCUCUCAGAGACGGACAAAGAUGGCCCUUUUGUGUUUUGAGCUAAAUGCCAUCAAAGGGCCAGUCGCCACAGUGGGUCUCUGCAUUCAGACCACUCUUUCGGGACAAGCCAUGUGUUACCUAUCGCAGGCUUUCUCCAGCAGAGUGCUUUGAAGAUUAUUAUUCAUUACUUUUGUGUCUAAGGAGCUGAGUGUAGCUUACAUAGCGGCAUAUGACAAAUAACCCAUUUUCUCCUCUCAAAAGCUGCGCGUGAGGUAACUUGGGAUAAGAGAUGCCAGCAACCAAAGCCCAUGCAGUAAAAAAAAAAAAAAUCAUGCCCGUAUACCAAUCUGAAUGAAGCCUCUCCUGGCAAUGGGAGACCUGGAAGCGGACGGUUCGAGUCCCCAUUGCUGCAAGGAGCUCGGUGGGUGAGCCUCAGGCCUGUCCCUUGGCCUAAUUUACCUCAUGGCGUUGUUGUGAGGAAAAAAUGGGAAGGAGGAGAACUACAUGCACCAUCCUUCAUGGGAUGACCCCAGAUUCUAGCAUUAGGAGAGAAAAGGGAGAAAAAAACUGUUCGCACACCACGGGGAUUUUUUCGCCCCCCUAAACUAAAAAGCCCUAAUUUGGUGGCCGUCGCCACAUCUUGUGAUAGCGAAUGCCAUGGUUUAACCAUGUGCUGAACCUUUGUGGAGCGAGGUGAAAUAUAGCUAUACUAAAAGGAUGAGGGGGAAAAGCAUAACUGUUCACCAACAAUAUGUAAUCACAUGAUUAUGCUAAUGAUGUCAUCUGUGACAUCCAUCAGACUUCAGCAAAGAAAAACAUGCCUUGCAUUCUAGAUAGCGUAAUUCAUUGCCUCAUGACUUAAAUGUAGGAUACCCUGAUCUAGACAUCUGGGGUGAUCCACAGCCCUCUUUUUAAAUGCAGCUCAAAUUACUAUAAUUUUCUACCUGUCUCCUGCCAUGCUCCUAAAUAUACUGGAUUUUUUCCACAGUACUUUAAUGAGUAGCUUAAUCAGAGAGGUAUAAUUUACUAAGAUUCAGUGGCGCUCUCUGCAUACACAUGAAAAACUUUUUUUAGUGUUGCAUUUAUUUCUCUUCAUAUUUACCUGUUAGCCUGGGUUGUGUUUUUGUUUUUGUUUUGUAUAAAAAAGGGCUGCAUUUCCCACCCAUCAUAAUGCAGCCCAUUACAUUUCAGUGUAGUUGUAUCAGCUUGCCCUCUGAACCACCAUUCCUCAUAAUACCUGGAUGUUUUUAGGGAAUAAACAUCAUUUAAGUGUUUGGCAUUCCAGACUUACCCUGCAUUCCCCAAAAAGGUUUUGAACUCAAAGUGCACUUGCCAUUAAGAUCCAAAUAUCAAAAAAAAACCCAGCUCCCUUCCAAAAAUGUCUUGUAUUCAUGGAUUAUUAUUAUUUUCUCAGAAGAUGGGAACUGAGUUGUGUAUUUUGUAUGCAUACGUGGCUCUUAGGGUACAGAACAUUGCUGAAGAUAAGCCAUUUUGGGUCUGGUUGGUACAUCCAUGGCGGAUUAGCCAGGGAGUUGCAUACAUACCGCCUUGGGUUUCAUGAAGGAGAAAAUUAAAUAUUUAGUUUUGUGUGCUUUUUCUUUAAAAGUCAAUUUUAGGUUUCACUGUUGUGUGGGUGUGGCUGUUUUAAAGACCUAGACCCAAGGAAAAGGACUGUAAAACCAUUCUGGGAAUUGUAGUUAUGUGAGAGGAAUAGGGGUCUCCUAAAAAAUUGAAGCACCCUUCAUGAACUACACUUUCCAGGAUUCCUUGGGGGAAGUCAUAGCUGUUUAAAGUUGCAUGAUACUGCUUUAAAAGUACAGUCCAGAUGGGGCCUAUGUUUCUGUUAGUGCUAGUUUUUGUUUGCGUUUGCUUAUUUCUUUAAGAUCCAGACUCAAUGAAAUUUUCAGUGCUCCCUUGACGUCCACAUACACAGACUAUGUGGAUCCAGGGCUCACAAACUCUAAAAAUAUGGAUAUAAACUCUGCAGCAUCUAUGGAGUUCAAAUAAUUUUGCAAAAAGAUAGAACCUAGGGGUGCUAUUUUCAUGCAUUUCAAGCCCUCGAGUAGCCACAUCCUGUUUGUGUGGAAGAGAAAACAAAAGUUAAACUUUCAGUAACCUUGGAGUGUCGGGGUGGGGGAAUAAGAGUUUAGCGUUUGGAAUAAUAGUCAUCCCUUAAAUUCAUCCAUGGCAACUGACCACAGGUUUAUUCACUGUUUUGGGAAAGUGUCUGCUUUACCAGCAAACGUGCACAUAUAUACCAACCCUUUACAGUAGAUUUUGAGGUUCCAUUGGACAGUGACUUAGUGACUUAGUUGGAUUAACGGAUAGGGAAGAAAUUUGGCUUGGUUGGGAUUUUAAAGCAAAACUACCUAAUCUGUACUUUCCCAAGCAAUAUGCGAACCGGAGUACAGCAAUCCUUUGAAUUUGCUCUUCUCUGAAUUUUGUGAUACAGUUGUCCGGUCAAAUAAUGUGUACAAAAUGAGUAUGUAUGUAUCAAAAUAAUUGUAUAUUGAUUAGAAUAGCAUAUAAAAUGCAUUAUAACAGGGGAGGUAGCUUGCAAAGAUGCAUAGAACAGAUAAAUUUGUGUACCAAAAUGUGUCUAUUAUGAGAAAUCUGCACUAAAAUACGAAUGAAUUUCCAUGAGGAAUUUUACAAAACAAAAAUUGCAAACUGAUGCAGGAAUGUGGGGAACUGAACUUAAGACUAGAGAAACGAGAAACUGAGAGAGAAGCUGACAUUGAGAGAUUUGUCCAUCCUCGGUGGGAUUCAAGCCUGAGUCACGAAGCAGCUUCCCAGCAUCCUCACAGAAAAUGCCCAAAAGAAUGGUCUCCUGUGAACCAUAUCAUGUCCCCAGAAAAUGCUGAGGAAAAAUAAAAGCCACAUCCUUUGUGUGCUUUGUGGGACUAAGUGGUAGGUAGUGGGGGCUCAAUAUGCAUGAGUCUGGAUUUUGACCUCUCCCUAGCCUCAGGAGGAACUAUAUAUAUAUAUAUAUAUAUAUAUAUAUAUAUAUAUAUAUAUCAUUAGGGGCAAGAGCAUUGAAACCUCUUCCCAGCAAAUAAAUUCUUCCUCCAUCUUCUACACUGAAGGCUACACAACUUUGCUUUAUUCCUUCUGAGGAUGCAAAGUUUUUAUGUUUGACGCAUCAGUGUUUUUAAGAGAACAUUCCAAACCACUUCUUCUUCUUUUUUACAACCACUGAUAAUAAUCACCACUAAGCUGGUCUCCAGAGAGGAGAAGCCUUUAUGUCAUAACUUUGCAGGAAAGGCUGACACUGCUCACAAUAUUUAACCUUGCUGGGGCAUAUUUGUUUAGCCUGUUGUACAAUUGCGCUGUCUGUUACCCUUCCUAGACUUUGGUUGGCCAUUAACAGCAUGUCUAUUAUUAACCCACUCCAUCCUGUGUUGCUUUGAUAAUUAAACUACGUUUCCUUACGCCUCCCCACUGUGGAGUCGUAACUCAAACAUUGGGGUACCAUAGACAUCUAUCUCUAUGGUAGAAACCUAAGCUAGGAACAUAGGAACCUAUCUUAAACCAUAAGUCCACCUAGCUCAGCACAGACCUCAGUGACUGGCAGUAGUUCUUCAGGGCUGCAGACAGGGUUCUCUCCCUGCCCAAUGACUGACCUACCACUGAGCUAUGUCUCUUCCCCCAAAUUAACCUGCUUCAGUCCAACUAAAGUCUGUCCAAACUGCCAGUUGACUAUGACCCGAAACAGGACCCAAAUAGUGCCUCCCCUGCCUGAAAGAGCUCCCCAAUGGCAAAUGCAUUCCCCUAAGGCAGUGGGUCACGGGCUUAACUAAGUCCACCACCAGGCAUCCCCAUGCAAGGCUGUUUCAGCCUAAGGCCAACAAAAUAUUGCAGUGACUCCAUGAAGCAGGUCUUAUCACCUUGCUGCAGGGCAGGUCUGGUCUUGCUAACUGUUGCAGGAAUUUACAGGCGCAAACAGAUGUGUGUGUGUGGGAUUUCUUAAUAAGAAAGUUACUGAAUAUGUUCAUGAUUGAUUAUAGGAGUUGGAACGAGCCACUGUGUAUUGAGAGAACAUUUGCUGCAGUUACUUUUAUAUAAGAACUAGUUUAUAGAGGAGGCUGUAGUACCUGACAUUGCAAGUAGAAGAUGCCAUUUGCAAAUGCCACCUUCUCUGAAAUGCUUCUCUGAAAGUUCUACCUUUUGUGGGAAUUAAAUUCUAGGUCCCAUUUAGCAGAGUAUGCAGAAGACAACCCUGGGUCACUUGACCCUUUAAUUAGUCCUCUUUUCCCCCUCCUAUAAAAACGACCCAAGACACCCUCUUUUAAGAUUUAAAGAACAUAAAACUUUUGCUUAGUGUACUUGCAUUUGCAGAUUAAAUAUACAGUGGUACCUUCUGGAUACGAAUGGGGUCCGUUCCGGAGCCCCGUUUGCAUCCUGAAGUAAACGUAAGAUGCAACUGCACAUCUGUGCAUGUGCGGGUCGCAUUUCGCCGCUUCCGUGCAUGAUCAUGACGUCAUUUUGAGCGUCUUUGCAUGCACGAGUGGUGAAACCUGGAAGUAACGCGCUCCGUUACUUCCAGGUCGCCACAGAGUGCAACCCGAAAAUACUUAACUUGAAGCUACUUCAACCCAAGGUAUGACUGUAGAGUUAUUCAGCUCUCGCAAUUAACCCUUUACAUAUGAAUUUUUGCUCUGUGUUGGUUUUAUAUUUUAUUGCCCAUCAACAGCCAGCAUCUGUUCAGCAGAAUGUGUAGGCACACAAGUCACACUCCUCCACUAUGGUGAGACGUGUUGUGUUUCUGUUUUAAUUAUAGGAGCUAUUUCCAAACUUGUGUCUAUAUGUGUAAAUUAGCAUAUGCAAAUCUAUUGUCCCUUUUUGUACUGAUGCGCUUCCUCAUUUUUUCGUGCUGCAUCUCUGACCACCCUACAGUCCAUUAUACCUCCACAUUCUUACUUGUCUCUCAGCCGAACUUCAGUGUGGUCAGUGUGAUUAAAGAACCGCACAACCCCCGUGCACACCAGCCUAAAUUCCAUAGAGGAUUUAAGGCUGAUUUGUGGCUAAGGAAGCAAACACAGAUUUUUAGUGAUAUCGAAUAAAUAACUAGGUCUGCUUUCCUAGAUCUCAUCCCAAGGGAGUUCCAGUGCCAUACCUGCAACUAUCAAAAAUGCACCUUUCUCUCCUGGAGCUCAGAAGUUAUCACGAACCAUGAUGAAAGGUGUUUCCAUGUGUGGAAAAACCUUUCUAUCCCCGGCAGAAACACCAAUAUGAAAAAGGAGCAGAAUAUUUGCCCUGAUUCAAAAGGUUUUGUAGGGCUCAUUCACAGCAUUUUUUAAUGAGAUUUUAAAUGUCUCCUUAAAAUGUUAACAUGGGUUCAUAUGAAGCUGUUCUGAACAGUUCUUACAUCAAAAGGCGAUGCUAUUAAGCUUCAGUUAUGUCAUGGGUCAAGGAGUAGGCCAUAGGUGUCAGCUAGAUUAAAGGACUCUGGAAUUUAGUUGAUGCUCAGCUGAGAAAGAGCACGGAUCGGACAAAGAAGCAGCUUAUCAAUAAAAAGCAAAAGAAAGCAACCAAUAGGAGACAGAUUGUUCAAAAGGAGGGAUUGGCAGCUUUUCCUGUAUAAACAGAAAUCAUUUUGUUGGCUUCCUCUACACAUAAAUUCUGGAUCUGACCUUGCAAACUCUACACAGUUUGAGUAACAUGUUCCACUGAAAACUGCCUCCUCCUCCCUUUUGUCUCUUCAUGAGCUCACUAAUGGAAGCUCCACUCCCAGGGCUAAUGGCAACCAAGGGCCCCACAAUUUUCUUCAGGAGUGUAACUGGGAAAGACACCAAGUGGCCAUGGUCCAGAUUCUUAUCUGAGGCCCCACAAGCUAUUAUUAAGGGGGUGGAAAUAGACACAUGACCAGAUUCGCACAUUUAACAGCACAGCUAGUUUGGGAAUAGGCUGCUGAUUGUAUCCCCCAUGCAGGGAAUCUACACAAUCAUGUAACAGAACAUACUUCCUAGUUACAGAAACCUAGGCACUCAACAAAGGGUCUGAGGACUCCAGCAAUAACAUUCUUUCCAGACUGGAUCACCUCAGCAUGCAAGUAAUAAUAAAAGAACUUGAGUUAGAAUGCUCCCAGGGAUUGGGUAGUGUGUGUGUGUGUGUAAAGAACUAAGUCUGGGCAAUGUUUCGAGAGGAAAUCUCUGGAGAAUGGGAUGUCAGGCUAAAUGUGUCAAAAGAGUCGAAGAGAAGAGGAAAGGACAGUUGGGUCUGUAGUGGGAAUUUUCUCAAUUGACGUUUGGAAGAGGAAGAGGGAUGACGGCGAAUAGCUAGGUGGAAAUGGGUUAGGGAGAUGACUAGUUCUGGUUGCGUUCAUCCCAAACUUCAGUUUACUGUGAAUGUGGUUUCAACCCUCUGCUUUGCUGUUAAUCCUGGGAAAUUCUUAGUGAAACAUCUGCUUAAAGGGUUUGAACACUUACCCAUGGUUUGGUCCCAACAAGACUGUGACAAAAACAUCUCAUACACACUGGGGGGGAAAGCAGGCCAGAAAGAAAGCCAAGCUGGCAAUUUCAUUCUUACUUGGGUUAUUCUUUGAGCUUGGUCCUAAAACUCUCAAUCAGUUAGUCAACAGAGCCAACAAAGGAAGGACAGAAGCUGAGAUGCAGAGCAUGCUGGUUGUAAUACGUUGCUGGACUUCAUCCAUACUUCCAGACCACAGGCUACAGCAAAGCUGAUGGCCCAAACCACAGUAAUGCAAGAGCAAUUUUCUUUAUAUGUUUGGGUGAAUCACCCACCUACCCAUCACACCUGACCUAUUUGCACAUAGUAUAUAAUUCUGCUAGCAGUUCCAGGACUGUGUCAGAUCUCUUUGUGGAACAUAGAUUUUUAUUUUCUCUUUGCUGUACCUCGGUGCAGUAAAACUGGGCAAUGAAUUGGAUUUUCUGUUGAGCACAAAAUAUGGCUUAAACAUCCAGUUCAGUGUUUAAAGUGCUAUGCUGGACUAGAGUACGCCAUACUUGAUCUAGAUGGCAUGCUCUCUUUGGCUUAGCCUCAUCAAAGAGAAUUGGGAUCUUUUCUCAUGAAGAGCAACAUCCUCAGCAUAUUAAAAUUAAUUCUGUCUGAAAUGAGUCCAAAGCAAAAGUACUUUAGGGCAUUCUGACAAAAAUAGUUGCCCUGAAACAACCUCAGAGAAAUCAGUGUUCUUCAGAAUUACACGUCAAUUGAUCUGUAGCCGCAAAGAAUUGAGAGUCCUCCAAUAAAACUCUUUUUUAAUUCAACGGCGCCUAUACUCUCACAAUCAGCUGAUGUUUAUCUAGUAUGCUCAAAAGCUCUUUCUAUUCUGAUGAUUAUCUCUGCUAGACAUUCUGCUAGUAUCCACUGCCAUACAUAUGACUGUGCAGUGUUAUCUACUCUGGGAACAGGGAUGGCACAACUGGAGACAGUUAGGAGUUGUGCCCAUGAGCAUUCUUCAUGUAAUGCACAUUUAUUCAAAUGCGUAACAUUACUUGGGCUCGUAUUCUUCCCAUAUCCAUUUUGAGACCCCUAAGUUGGCAUUAGUCAUGACCUGGCUGGCCACAUCAGGAUUCAGAAGCUAUGUAGCUUCCGGGAAAUGUGAUCACGAUUCCUUUGCUAUUUAAUAUAGCAAAGAAUAUCUGAUUAGGUAGGUAGAUAAUCCUGACUCCUGCUACUGCUUGUAUGAAAGGGGUGGGAGGCAUCACAGUAAUUGUUUCUGGAAGGAGGCAGGGGCCAGCUCCCACCUUACGCUUCCCAGAACAUGCUUUUUCUCUGGGUGGGUGGGUGUGUUGCAGUUCAGACCCACAAAGGAGAUCAACAGAAGACUCACGAUGAGUAAGGAACAUUCACCGCCUCCAGGACAGGCAGAUCUUCUGUCACCCUUGCCUGCUUCUGUAACAGAAGUUGAAAUUGCAUUGAUAUGAAUGAUGAAUGGUAUAUAAAUACAGCAAGUGUUGUUGUAGUUGUUGUUUUCCAAAAUGCCAUCCACAUAAAUUCUUUAAUACACUGUGAGGUUUGCAUAUUCAAGACCCUAGUUGCAAACUUUCUCAAAUCUGCCAGUACAGAUUGACAAAAUUUACUGUGUUCCCAGCACUGCCUUAUAACCCAAGGUUUCAUAAAUAUGCAUGCCCAUCAGAUAAUCUGUGUCUUUUAUGAUGAAGUUCUUCCGUUUUGGGGUUUGCAAAAGUCUUAGAUCAUGUGACUCAUUCUGAAAUGACAUUUUUUUUAAAAAAAAGCUGGGGUGGAAAUUUGUAUGAGAAACGAUUUACCCAUUCUUAUUCUUCUUUCCGUAGGCAGUGUUUUGAUGGGCUAUAUUUAACCUCUACCAAGAACUUCAUAAUAUUGCAAAAGAUGGGACUUGUGGAAUUAAAGGCUGUGCUUGGUAUUGCAAAUACAGUUGUUGCAGUUAUAGCACCUAUUGGUCCUCCAGAGGCAGCCAUUUUGUAGCCUCCAUAUCCCUGGGUAGGAUAAACAUUUACUGCAAUUCCUCCAACUGGCUUUCUGUGGUUAAAAGGUUUACUAAAGCCUACUCUGGCCAUCCCUUGCUUUACACAAAAGAUGGUGCUAUGGCAGAUUGUUUCAGUGAACCCCUUGGGCUGCAACUAAAAACAGCUCUGGGUUGCAGCCAGGAUGGUAAGCACAGCUCACGUUUCGCAUAAUUCUGGAACUUUUAACUUUACCGCCAUUUCUCACUGCAUGAAACUGCUGCUGUGCUUAUGGCUAGGAAUUGGUGAGUAUGCCAAUUUCAGUUUCUCUCAGUAUCUUGUUUUUCCAAUCUUAAAUUCUGUUCUCCACAUUUCCACAGCAGCAAGCGAUUAAAAAAAAAAGUCUGCAUUUUAUCAGCAUUUUAGUGUGAAUUUCUCUUCAUAUACACAUUUUGCAUGCGAUUUUGAUUAAUAUACACAUUUUUGCAAUUUCCCCUAAUAUAAUGCAUUUCUUUAUGUUAGUUUCAGAAAUAUAUGCAUUUGUAUCAACACUUUGUCCUAGUACGUGCAUUUUUGUACAUGUGAGAAUGGCACUGCAAAUUCUGAAGAAUGAAUUUUGAAGGACGGCUGUGUUUUAGUUCAUACCUUGUUUCAGAAAUUGCAAAUUAUGUUGUUCAACUUGAAAUGUAAACCAGAUCAAAUUUUUCCACUACCCCUAUAAAUGUCAUAAUGUCCUUGGCUUGCCUGCUGUAGCUGAUGACUGGCAGGAGCUGCCAGCUUGGUGAUGAGCCACCAGGUCUACAGGCUGCAGCAUCUCCAUGGGCAGGGAAGAAGUCCAAGUACUAGUUGUCUUCCCUGUCUCUGCCUUCUGCUGAUUCCUGGCUUUAUCUCCUGGCUCAGGCCUCUGGCAUGAUUCCCGGUUCCAACUUGACAGCUACCUCUGACUCACUGAUUUUAUGCAAUGGUGGAAGCACUCUUGAGUUGAGGAUUGUAUGGUCUGCCGAGUCCUCUGGAGUUGACCCUGAGAGAAGCCCAACCAAAGAAUUGGGUGGUGGUAUCAAGGCACUUCAUUCUAUCCCAUUAGUACAAUCCCUCUGUGUGUCUAAUUGGCAGGUUGGGCAGAGCUCUCCUAAACAGCAGCUAUGUUGAGCAGAGCAUUCAUAAAACUAGUAAGGGCCUUGUCCUUGUGAGCAGCAGAUCUUGGCUGCUCAUAAUCUCAUGGAUCUUGCCACUUUAUUUCAUUUCUUAUGAAUACAAUAAUUUACAUCACAGUCCUAGUUUCCAGAAACUGAAGCUCAGAUCAAGAGGAGUUAAAGACACACCAAGUAAGUGCUGGGAGGACAGACACGCUGUCAAAUAUCGCUUCUUCCCAGUUUAGUAGGCAGAACAUCUUGCCACUCAAUGUGGCUAUGGGGGAAGAUGGAAUUGUCAUUAUCAAUGCCGUCUGGUGGUCACUAUUAAUAUUUUGCAUGACCCAAUGCAAGCCAGAAAGUGGUUGUUGAACUGCAUGGCAUUGAUUCAGAGAGAUCAAAGUAUUCCCCCUAAUGCCCCAAGGGGUAGUUGUACUUUUAAGAAGCACCCAGGGAGAACAGCUCUUUUUGAACUAAGCAGUAGGCAAAAACAUGCAACUUGUGAUCUGCUCUCAUAGGGACAAAUGAGUGGGAAAGUGACUAGCCUUUCCCUGCAAUUAAAUUGUCUCAUAACCUAAUCAUGAUCACAACUGGGCUGGUAACUAAUGGGUUGCUGUUUCUCUGAACUGGACUGUGCCCACAACUGAGCGUUGCCACAGAGAAACUCUCGGAAGAAUGCUUACUCUAAGCAUCUGGUUUUCUGAAUAAAAGGGACGCUGUUGGCAUUGUCUUGAGGUCAUGACAAACUGGCACUGCAUCGUAAACAGAUACUUUGUCCCUGCCUCACCCCUUCCCUCCUCCACAUUUCCUGAAUGGAUCACCCAGGGGGGGUUUGGUAGCAGAGUCUGGAGGGGAAGUCUUAUUGCUAAGCAGAUUCUGCAGAAUACGUUUCCAAACUCUUUAGUAACUUAAGCUUUCUGUACUGAAAACAAUCUAUAGGAGAAGAAGGUGUCUUUUUUUAUCAGUAAGAACAGAAGUUAGGGGUUUGUUUGUUUUUUAAGUAAUUCAGGAUGUGUACUACUUUUAUAGAUCUCCUGAGGAUUUUAGCUGUUUGUUCAGAUGACAUAAAACAGAAGAGGAAAUAAAUGCAAAAGGUUUGCAGCAACGGAUCCUGAAAGAGAGAGAGAGAGAGAGAGAAGCUGAGGGCUGAACCAAACCAGCACUGGCAAUGCUCAGAAAAUAGGGCCUUCUAUUAGCUUUAUACAAACAAAACAAAAAAAAUUCAGAUUCUCCAGUUAUCAUCAGAGAUAUUGUUAAGAUGUUUGCUGAGAAGCAAGGCUCACUCAGAGGACAAAAUCAAUACAUAAAAUGUUUGAAUGCAUUUCACAAAUCUGUUGUUUAAAAUGUUAAAAGCAGUUGCGGGGAUGCAGUGGGAAACUGAUCAAGACCGCACCACCAAUGGGAGGUUUUUUUUUAACCCUUUCUCCUCUGCCACAGUCUCAGUGAACAUCUCCCCAUCCAAAAAGCUUCUAUUGAGCCCAGACAGAAAGCUUCUAUUCAUUUUAAUUUUAUUAUAUGUAAGUUAUUUCAUUAUUUAUUGGCUUUAAAUUGUAAAAUGUGGUAGUAGAUAAAUUCCCUACCCUACCCUCCCUGCUAGUGGAUACUGAUGCCACCUUUCUUGCUUGCUUGCUUGCUUGCUUGCUUUCUUGCUUUCUUGCUUUCUUGCUUUCUUGCUUUCUUGCUUUCUUGCUUUCCAUCAAAUUAACUUAAGCAAUGCCAGAAGUGCCAACUUGGCCCCGUGACCAUGGGUGUCUGGGGCCGUGGGUGCCAUGCAGUGUGCAUAGCCCUAGCACCAAAAUUUGUGGGUGUCCGGCCCCUUCAUGGGGAAUUUUGUGGGUGCUCAGGCACCCAGGGCCCCAGGGAGUUGGCACCUAUGAGCAAUGCUGGGUCCAUUGCAUUUUAAUAUUCAUUCUCUCUCCAUAAUGAUACAUCUACAACAAAAGGUAUCCACCAACCAGACUCUAGCUGUUCUGCAACAAGCUUUAAACUCUAAUGAAGCUUAAACUUCAAAGGGAAACAAAAUCUAACAGCACGUCGAAAUGGCUAUUUAUAAAGAAAAUAACAAUCUCUGUCCCAUUUCCAAGGGACCUGGCUGACCUGCACACACUGAAAUCUCAAUGCUACUGAAUCAAGGCGAUUCCUGGUGGUACCUGCUGAAAGACUCAGGAGGCUGCUGCCAUAAGAAUAUCGAUCAUAGUAGUGUCUGUCAGUCAUCCUUUACUAUUGAAAUUAUUAUUGACCCAGAAACUUGCUAAUUCGCAUCCACACACCCCUGUGUAUUCCUAAUUGUGGUGAAAGUGCUCCUCAGCUGUCAGCAGAGAUUUGAUAAGGCAACAGGACACUUGUUUUCAUGGAACGCUUUGCUGCAAUUUUAAUGAAAUGAACCAAGAGCAUCCCAAAUAAGACGGGACAGGUGUCAGAUAUGCAAAGCAACACUGUACCUUUAUGAGAUGUGCAGAAAAGGGAAUCCCAGCAGGCACAGCCAUUCUUACCCCUGUGUGGCAAAAUCCACUCACUGGCAUUGACUUUAGGAUCCGUGUUGAUCUUUCAAUCUAGUCACUCUGUGUGGGGGUGAGCUUUUUCCUUGCCACAGGAAUAUGGUGAUUCCCAAUCCCAUACACCCUAGGGUACAAUCAAGCUGAAAGCUGCUAUCGUUCACCAGAGAGCCAAGCAGGUACUUGGACUGUCAAGUGGAAGACAGGGGAGGCUCGGCGCAUGGGAUUAGACCAUUAGUCUGCGAUGCUUUGCUAACCACUGUUUUGCGAAAGUAACACCACAGUUUCCAGCAGCCUUAAAUCCAGACUCUGACUCAUGAGGCCAUCACAGCAUUCGAGCAAUAAAUCAUCUAGUAAUUAUGCCAAUAACUGUUCCUGUUUGGUACACUAAGCAAAACAAAUCCUUUGUUACGUUUUCUCAGCACUGUGGUACAAAAAUAACUUGCGGUCUAUUCUUGACGUCUGUUCCUUUUCACAUGCAAUUCUUUCCAUCUUCUCUGAAUGCUACAACUGGGCAUCAUUUCUAGAGCACUUUCUGCUUGCCCUCACAACAACCUUCUGAUAAUGGGUCACUAUCUUCUCUCAUUUUACAGAUGGCAAACAGAAGUGGAGAGACAAAAUGACUUCAUCACGGUAACUCAAGAUGACAAAAGUAGCGCUUGAAUCCAAGUCCCAUAUCCACCUCUGCCACUCCAGCUCCUGGACCUUCCUGGAUCUAAAUGUGGGAUGCUUUUUAGAAAAAGCAAGGGGAUGGUGGAAGCAAAGAGGGCUUUCAUUCAUUGCCCUCCCGGCUGCUGAUUUGUCCCUCCAAGAAUAUCUGCACGGACUUCCUCUCCCUUAUUUCCUUCUUUGGCAUCCUAGCAGCAGGAAAGCCCACAAGAGGGACAUACAGAACAAUCCUAUAUAGGUUUCCUGAGUAGUAAACAGAAUUCAAAGGGCUGACUCCGGCAUCAAGGUGCAUAGGAUCGCAGCAUAUUAAUGCAUCCACAUGGUAGUUUUGGAAGGGGUUAAAAUACAAUAGUCUAUUAAACAUUAAAAGCUUCCCUAAACAGGGCUGCCUUCAGAUGUCUUCUAAAAGUCUGGUAGUUGUUUUUCUCUUUGACAUCUGGUGGGAGGGCGUUCCACAGGGUGGGUGCCACUACCGAGAAGGCCCUCUGCCUGGUUCCCUGUAACAUGGCUUCUUGCAGCGAGGGAACCACCAGAAGGCCCUCGGCGCUGGACCUCAGUGUCCUGGCAGAACGAUGGGGGUAGAGACGCUCCGUCAGGUAUACUGGACCGUGUGUUUGGAGGUACAUAUCCAACAUGCUGGGCAGGAUCAGUGUGGCAGUCUGUAUUAAAAAAUAUGAUCCCUUUACUUGUAAUAUGCAUGAAGAGUUCAAAGUGGCUUGCAUGUUUCCUAGGCAAUCACCCGUUUAGGCAGCUUACAAGGCCAGACUUGUCAUAGGAAGUGCCACGGACACAUUUACAUACAAAUAUGUCUCUUGUUCAAAAGCCAAUUCUUUUAUUUUACCAUUAAAGUGCUAAGCCAAGUACAUGAGAAGCUACUGUGUUCCAAGUUUUGAUGCAUCUUCCUCUGCAGAUUUAAGUUGCUUUGGGAACCCAUCUAAAAUGUGUUCACACAAAGUUUGCAGGUGUUUAUGUGACAUCCAUGACUGAUCAAGAGUCCAUUAUGAUUUGUUGGUGAGGACAUCAAAUGGCAUGAUGCCAAGCAACUGUCAUAUCCCACAUUUCCCAGAGCAUGUUCCUAUUACUUUCCUUACUGCAAAAAGUCUGGGGGGUUUUUUGGCAAGUAAAAUCAAACAAGAGCACCAAAUCCACUAUAAUUGUGCAAGAUGAAUUUGCCCAUUUUGUGAUUCAAUGCCACCCACGAAAUAGCAACAGUCUGGCAGCAGCCGUGAUUUCUCUGAGACCAAGGGAAUUUCCACUUCUGAAUAUUGCAAGCUAGAAGCUUCAUGCAAGGGAUUGGGGAGGGGGAAUUAUCCACAACACAAUCAAGAGGAAUGGGUGUCACAUCUGUACUAAAUCUGAUUUCUUCCUCAGUUGCUAAGCACCUUGGUUAUAGAUGCAGUUGUGUUUUUGCUUCUAACGUCACAUCUGGAGCCUGAGCCAGAGGUUUUGUUUCCUGAAUUCUAAUUACAUACUUUUUAAAGGUCACCCAGAAGGAAGGAUGGCAGAGGAGUCUUAACGUAACGUCAGGGAUGAAUUAGGGCACCAUGAAACCUGAAAGAUUGUCUCUGCAGUCCUAGACCAAAGAGGGGAGUUCUUCAAGGGUGCAGAAUUUCAGCCAGACUCUCUGAAGGCAUGUUGGGAAUACGAAGGGAGUGGUAGGAAAUAUUAUGACAGUGUAUUAAACCUUGGCUGCACACACAUCUGAAUGAGAAAAGCAAUGAAACGAGCAGCCAAAAACUCUGCAUCCCAGACUCAGAAAAACAGUUCAGUGAUUUAAAAACAUUCAGUUGCAUCUCAGGAAUGCCUGCAAAAAUGUACUCUGUUUCACAGCCCAGUACAAAGCUACCAACAACAUCCACUUCUCCCCAGGAUGAGAAGCAAACGGCUAUCAAAAUAUCAGGGUCAGCAGUUCCAUGGAUCAGGAUAACAAGUGGGAUGGUCACUGUUAGAAGGCUGUCAUGCUGCGCUGCCAUUGUCAUAAUUACACCAUGCUGGUGUCAAUCAUUGGGUGUGAAUCCUUCACCAAUGCCUUGGCAACUAACUAACUAACUAACUAACUAACUAACUAACUAAAUCCCAGGGUUACUAUCACUAUCUGAGUUUCUCACAGUGUCCUGGAACAACCCUACAUCAAGGGAUUGUAGGAAAAUAAAAUGGCAGCCAACCAAUAGUGUUCGAAGCUCUGCUGCUGGAUAAGCCAGCUAGAGCUCACCAACAAGGGGGUACAGGCUGCCACAAGACACUUCACUCAAAUAUGAAGCUGCACAGGGUCUUGAUUCCUCAGCAGCAGGUUUUAAGCAUCUUUCUGCCUAAACCAAAGCCACUGUUCAGCCAUUCAACACCAGAGGCACUUCCUCUUUCUGUACUCAACUCACAAGGACACGGCAGUAUAUUCUGUGAUGUAGGAGAUGUUCAGAGAUGGAGCGACUUGCAUAUUUGUCCGGCCACAGAUUCUAACUUUCCCAGAAGUUAUUCUCCCAACCAUACAGCAGACUAACAAUGGCUUGGCCUGGAAACAUGUCUGACAGGAUUCCCUGAGAACACGGACUGCUUCCUACAUUUUGAGAGAUCUCCAAAGUUAGUCAUAAUCAUUUCAACUAACUGGUCUUGCUACCAGAAGCCCAUGCAGUGCAACUAUGCUGAGGUUCUUGUGCCAGCGCUCUGUGCUUUUCAUUGGCUACCUGUUGUCAGCUACUCUACCUACCAAAAUUCACCUGCAUCCUUGCCAGACAAGCCCAGCUACUAGCUGGCCAAUAAUUAACUUCCUUUUCUUCUUGAGCAAAUUUUGAGGGGGUCUGGGGGGCUACAGAAAAAAGGAGGGGAACGUUCUGCUGCACAAGUGGAAGAUUGUUGCACUAGCAAAAGGGCAGCACUGGAGACAACCCAGUCUAAAUACAAUAAUUUGAAAUAAAAAUAAUAUAAUUUCACUACAAUAACACACGCACGCACGCACGCACACGCUCUCUCUCUCUCUCUCUCACACACACACAAAAUUAACAGUUCAUUUUACAUACAUCGAAAUUUAAGUGAGCAUAAAGGUCAACAAAGUAAAAUAAUUUCACACCUAAUCAUAGCCCCAAAGCUGACAACAUUAGGCAUUCAGCCCCUUUCAGUGUGGGUUUCACUGACAAUCACUCAUAAGUGAACAACAGGCAGAGUGUUAAUUCUGGCCUCUUUCUAAAACCUGAUGAGGUCUGGCUCCAAUUCAGCCUUGGUUUUACUCUUAUCCAUGCAAGUGCCAGGCAGGUAGGUAUUCAAGAUCAGGCAUCAGCCUGGCACCUAAAAGUACACACCUACCUGUAGAUACUUACCUAGGACUGGGAGUAAGCUCCACUACACUCACUGGGGUUUUCUUCUGAAUCAACAUGUGUAGGAUUCCUCUGAAUGCAUUCAUCAGUAACUAAUUGAAGCCAAUCUCUGGUACACAGACAACUUUUAAAAAAUGACCUGUGAUAUUUUGGCACCUCAGUCCUAAAGGUUCUAAUUGUCUUGUUACACAAGCAUAGAAUAAUGUUUUGCAUAUACCAUCAUAAGCUUCUCCUCCUGCCAAUUUUGUAGGAUUUAGGACUGGGUGAAAAUUCAGUUUUUCUAUAGUGAAUUAUUCAACUGCCUGAUAGUAUACAUCUGCAUGUGUUCUUACCUAGUGCAGAUUGUACAAUAUAAUUUACAUUCCGUUCUCGUUAUUCACAGGCAAAACACAUUGUUGGAAUGUAAUCUGCUCCCCAUGUAGUCUGCAAAGUGUAUAUUGCGGAAUAAUCAAAGGGUUUUAGGCUUGUCUUUCUCUAAGCACACUAAACAUCCCUCCAGCACCUUGUGACAUGAUCACAGUGGAUACCUUAUGAGAUGUAUAAUCUGAUACCAUCUGUAGUGUUGGCAUUUCCUCACAUUAGCCAGAGAAAUGAAUGCUGAUCGGCACAUGGAAUGGGGCUAGUCUUUCACCUUAACAGGGAAAACCAUACUGAUGAAAAUGUAUUUGUAUAUUUAGCUAGACCUUUGACAUAUUAGACAUUACAGGCAUGCCUGCAGAGAUUUCUGAGCAACAAAAUAAAUAAAAAUAAUAUUACACAUUCUUGUUUGUAAGGCGCGUCUCCACCCCCAUCAUUCUACCCGGACACUGAGGUCCAGCGCCAAGGGCCUUCUGGCGGUUCCCUCACUGUGAGAAGCCAAGUUACAGGGAACCAGGAAGAUGGCUUUCUUGGUGGUGGCGCCGGCCCUGUGGAACGCCCUCCCACCAGAUGUCAAAGAGAACAACUACUACCAAACUAUUAGAAGACAUCUGAAGGCAGCCCUGUUUAGGGAAGCUUUUAAUGUUUGAUGUAUUACUGUAUUUUAAUAUUUGGUUGGAAGCUGCCCAGAGUGGCUGGGGAAGCCCAGCCAGAUGGGCGGAGUAUAAAUAAAAAAUUGUUGUUGUUGUUUUAUUACACGACAAGGAACACAAUUCAAUGGGGUACUUCCCAACACAAGCCCCAAUAAAAUUGGGCAUAGAAGUACCAUGUUCUUGUGUAGCUCGCAUUCAGUUCAAUGGGCCGUGCCCUGGAGACGUUCCCAGUCGAGUGUGUCCAGUACUCAGGGCCAGCCCUACCAUUAGGCAGAAGGAGGCAGGUGCCUCAGGUGGCAGAUGCUGGAGGCCAGCAGUCUAUCAACCAUUCCCCAAACUAAUCUUUAAUGCUGAGGAUUUAUGAAUAAUAAAAGCCUGGAUAUUUCCCCAUGGAGUUAAAAAAGAAGACAGUACUGUGCAAAGAAAAGGCUCAAGAGUAGUCCUAACCACAGAAUGGGAAUCAGAGAAAAUGACAAUUUAAUACAGAGCUAACCUCACCCUUUGGGUGGAGAGCUUUUUUGUAAAGUCUCUCAUUUGCUGACAAUGAGAUAAUAAAUGCCUUCGAUCCUAAUGCUGUGGUUUCCUGCUAUUGACUCAUUUUACUGGGCUUCCAUGAUAGUCUCUCAGCUAUCCUAUGAUAACUUGCUAAAACCUGCUGGCUAAACCUCUUUUUGAAAGCAUCUCAUUGUGCCUGAAUCCUAGGCAACAGCAACCAGUUUUCUAUUGCAAAACGCAUGUAAAGGAUGAUAACUGAAAAGAGACCAGAUCCUCUGGAUGACAUGCUUAGGACACUAAAAGGGUAAGGUCCAAUUACACGUUCCAAAUCUGGAUUAAUCAGUAAAUUGAGGAUAAAAGUUCCAGGUUGUGUUUCUUCCUGUGGUUUUACCAGAAUUAUCCCAGUGAAGGAAAAGGGAUCAAUCCAGGCACUUUGAACAUUCCUUGAGGUCACCACUAAGCAGAUGUGGGGACUUUAGCAACAUUUCCAGCUUCUGGGUAAAUGAAAUACAGUAGCCUCUCCAGCUUCACAGCUGAAGCCCCUGUUCAUCAGCUUGGUUGCGGUGGGUGGACAAUGUUUGCAUGCUCCCUGCCACCACAUGAAACAAAACUCCCUGCACAUUCAAAAUUGGAGAGAAGGCUAGAAAUUUCUCCUUAGCAUGCAAUCUUUCCUCAGGACAAUUUUAGACAGAGGAGCAUGCAAACAAGUCAAUCCCAAGGCAGCUGUCUGAAGUAGUACACGUCAGUAUGAUGCCCACUAUGCUAGCCAGCUGAUCAUAUGAUGGGACGCGGGUGGCACUGUGGUCUAAACCACAGAGCCUAGGACUUGCCGAUCAGAAGGUCGGCAGUUCAAAUCCCCGUGACGGGGUGAGCUCCUGUCACUCAGUCCCUGCUCCUGCCAACCUAGCAGUUCGAAAGCACGUCAAAGUGCAAGUAGAUAAAUAGGUACCGUUCCAGCGGGAAGGUAAACAGCAUUUCCGUGUGCUGCUCUGGUUCGCCAGAAGCGGCUUAGACAUGCUGGCCACAUGACCCAGAAGCUGUACACCGGCUCCCUUGGCCAGUAAAGCGAGAUGAGCGCCGCAACCUCAGAGUUGUUCGCAACUGGACCUAACGGUCAGGGGUCCCUUUACCUUACCACUGCAGCGGGAAGGUAAACGGCAUUUCCGUGUGCUCUGGUUUCCGUUAUGGUGUUUCAUUACACCAGAAGCAGUUUACUCUUGCUGGCCACAUGACCCGGAAAGCUGUCUGCAGACAAACGCCAGCUCCCUCGGCCUGAAAGCGAGAUGAGCGCCACAACCCCAUAGUCGCCUUUGACUGGACUUAACCACCCAGGGGUCCUUUACCUUUUUACCUUUACUUUAUGAGCUCAGCUCUCAGAACUACCAAGAUUCUUAUCCUUGUGGAUUUCAAUUAUUGGGCAAAAUCCUCUGUUUGGUUAGAAUGCCACAGAGGGAAAAUACUAACCGUACCAUGAGAUUCAGAACAUUUGAAUGCCUACAAGCACAUUGCAUCCUUCUGCUGACUUUUUGAUUUUGUGACUGCUUCAUUCUCAGUCCAAGCCCUUAAAUCAGACCCUUCCUUUUGCUCGUGGUACAAAAUACUUUUUAACAUUCUACACGGUGCUCUCCAAUGGCUAAGCCAAGUAAAAAAAGAGCUUUGCUUCAUUUUAUAGACCCAUGCCAUCGCUUCAGCCAUUCUAAAUGCAGAGCUCGUGUCCGUCAGUCUUCCAGAUUUGGUUUCAACAGAGGAGUGGCAUCUGGUCAUCAACAUUAGUAGCCAGAGCAUUUGUAAUCUAGAUGAAAGUUUCCCGCCCCCUCGGCCGCUCUGAAUUCCUAGGUCAACUUUUAGAUUACGAAUGAAUAUAUUCCUCUCCUAGGCUGUGUACACAAAAAUGCAGCUAGGUUGUUCUUUUUCUCAACUCAGAUCAAAGCUGUUGUAGUUGUUGUUGUUGUUGUUGCUGUUGUUGUUGUUUAGUCAUUUAGUCGUGUCCGACUCCUCGUGGCCCCAUGGACCAGAGCACGCCAGGCACUCCUGUCUUCCACUGCCUCCCACAGUUUGGUCAAACUCACAUUGGUAGCUUCUGUAACAAUGUCCAACCAUCUCGUCCUCUGUCAUCCCUUUCUCCUUGUGCCCUCCAUCUUUCCCAACAUCAGGGUCUUUUCCAGGGAGUCUUCUCUUCUCAUGAGGUGGCCAAAGCAUUGGAGCCUCAGCUUCAGGACCUGUCCUUCCAGUGAGCACUCAGGGCUGAUUUCCUUCAGAAUGGAUCGGUUUGAUCUUCUUGCAGUCCAUGGGACUCUCAAGAGUCUCCUCCAGCACCAUAAUUCAAAAGCAUCAAUUCUUCGGCGAUCAGCUUUCAUUUAUGGUCCAGCUCUCACUUCCAUACAUCACUACUGGGAAAACCAUGGCUUUAACUAUACGGACCUUUGUCGGCAAUGUGGUGUCUCUGCUUUUUAAGAUGCUGUCUAGGUUUGUCAUUGCUUUUCUCCCAAGAAGCAGGCGUCUUUCUUUUAAUUUCAUGACUGCUGUCACCAUCUGCAGUGAUCAUGGAACCCAAGAAAGUAAAAUCUCUCACUGCCUCCAUUUCUUCCCCUUCUAUUUGCCAGGAGGUGAUGGGACCAGUGGCCAUGAUCUUAGGUUUUUUUAUGUUGAGCUUCAGACCAUAUUUUGCACUCUCCUCUUUCACAAAAGACUUUGAUUGCAGAUUCUAUUCUAACAUCCCAUUUUAAUUUGAUAUCCAUUCUUUCUCCUCGUGCCUUAACUACAUCAUAGGUUAAUUCCACCAACUACCUUUGAGAAGUUUAACUACAGCUUUAAUUUCGCCACAUCUUCCUAAGAGGAAUUGGAACCACUUUUAUUAUUACUUUGAAGCAUACCUCCGGUUGAAAUGUAAACAUUAAAACUUCUUGUUGCUGCUUUUAGAUGGGUCAGACAAAACCGUUGACUUGGGUUAGGAAUUUUCUUCAGCCAAGUAAGCUGUGAAAAUUCAUGAAAGGAACAGCUUCCUAUACGUUUGGAAGAGUCCCAAGCAGACCCGGUGUUUUCAAUAGGGCUUGUUCCCUAGUCAGUAUGUUUACGAUUGCAGCCAAAAGUUUAAGAUUACUGUAAGAUGCUGAUCCCAGCAUAUCCCCAAAAGCAGCCAAAGUAAGGCUGUAAACAACAAACUCCAGGCAGGCAUUCCCACUCAUCUGAUACAGCUGGUCUUGGCUGAACUGCUAAAAUAUUCUGUUACAGCCAGGUUGCUUAGAAAUGCCAGAAGCUGAACAUGUUCCUGGCAACUAGAAGGAGAAGAGGGAAAGGGAGGGUCAUGCCACACCUUCUGCUGGUAAUUUCAAGCAUGCCCAAAUUCUAGUUUAUGGCGGAUUUGGUAUGCCUAUAGGUAUUUGUUUAUGCAGCGUUUUCAGCAUGAUCAUUAAUAAUGAGUUAUUCAUGUAAGAGUAUUUUCUCCUAAUGUAUUAAUGCAAUUAAUAUUGUUAGCACUUAAGCUAUGGUAGCUAGCUACCAGCAAAAGUAAUUUAAUUCCAUAGCCUGAACUACUUUUCAUAAAUUGGUUGUAAUGAAACUCAUCACUGUUUAAUUCCCAUUACAGUCUUAUUGAUGUCUGACAUGCUCCCUCUUAAGCCCCAAUUUUCUUUUUCCAAUGAUGUACUGUUUCUCGAUUGAUUGUUUCGACGUUUCAUUAAUAUAUAAUGCCUCAAGUGAAGAAAUUGAAAUAAUGGUAAUCUGUUCCCACUGUGCUCUAAUGACAUUUCGCUGCAGUUAAGCUAGUCGGUUUUUUUAUUAUUAUUUAGAAGAAAACAUUGAUAUCUAAGUUUGGACAAUCUAAUGCAUUUGGGGGGAUCAUGCCCCAAAUAACAUUUCCAUUAAAAUCUCUUUGGGGUGGGCCCACAAAAGUGCAGGACGCACCGAAGAGCUUACUGUGAAUGUAUAUAAUGUUCGAACUUUUCAAAAUGCCCCAAAGACUAGGAUUAUAUUUAACAUUCUCUAAUUUACAUAUUUUUUAAAGUCUGUAAUACAUAUUUUAAUGGAAUUUCGAAAUAUCUCUCUCCAGACUGCUUCCAUCGAUCAUCCCCUCCUGAGACCUACUGUGACAAAUGUGACUGACAAGAAUGACAAUACGUUGUGAUAGAAUGAACAGCGAAACCCACCUCUAUGGUAAUCUUUUUCCCCCUUCCCUCUUUCAAAUGGUG